rnacentral:sRNA from 1 species
GGAACCACAGAUACUUGAUAUUAUCUCAGUAAAAAAGUCAUACUAGCCAAUUAAAAUCAGGACCCACUUUGACUUCAGUAACUGUUGGAGCACAUACAACCAAGGAUAGUGUGGUUUUGGUUAAUAAGAUCAGAAGCAGAGGGAACACGGCUGAGUAGGAUAAGGAUUAAGAAUUAUAUGGACUUUGAAUGAUAAUUCAGGUGGGUGAAGUAGCUGGGAGAGGAAAGAUGAUACUGCUAUCAUCCAAAGAGUUUAGAGAUUGUUACAUCUAUGAAAGGUCACAAUUGAAAAGUAAAAGGAGCCAGGGAUAGGGAUGAUAGAAAGGUGAUCAGACAGGAGUAGGAGGCUGGAAGAUAUAAUGUAAAGAAUGCCUUAUAGUAAACUGGGUGAAGGGGAUGAAUAACCCUAAAAUAUAACAGCAAUGAUGAAAGUAAAACCACAUGAGGCAUAAGUAAGAAUACGAACUAAAUAAUAGAAAGCAAUUAAUAAAGAGAUGCCUAUGGAUGAAUUGCUGACACCACUGUGCUGAGCUGAAGGUGAUGUUCUCACCCCUCUGGUUCCCAGAGUCUCCAUUUGGUGCUGUUUCUGAGUCAUUUUAAAUUAGUAGUUUUCAUGGUGGGCAGCUUGUUCCGUAGAGAAAACAUGCCGAUAUUUGCAAGAUUUUUUUUCUUUCUGAAACUCAAGGGUAGGUGGAAUGGUAAUGGUGGGAUCUUUGAAGAGAAGCCCAGGAUGCUGCUAAACUCAGCACAGGACAGUCCACUCAAGUGAAGAACCCCGCCCAUGAAAUGGAGCCCUCCACAUUCAGGGGGAUUCUUCUCUACUCAGUUGAACUUCUGUGGAAAUACCCUCACAGAUGUAUCUAGAGGUGCUGUUGUCUUACAAAGAGGAGGAGACUUAGGCUGCUCAUCCAAAGGACUGACAGAUGCUGCC